rnacentral:rRNA from 1 species
UAACACAUGCAAGUCGAGCGAUCUUCUUCGGAAGAGAGCGGCGGACGGGUGAGUAACGCGUGAGCAACCUGCCCUUCGGAGGGGGAUAGCGUCUGGAAACGGACGGUAAUACCGCAUAAGACCACAUGAUCGAGAUACCAAAACUGAGGUGCCGAAGGAUGGGCUCGCGUUGGAUUAGAUAGUUGGUGGGGUAACGGCCUACCAAGUCGACGAUCCAUAGCCGGACUGAGAGGUUGAUCGGCCACAUUGGGACUGAGACACGGCCCAGACUCC